GAUUCUGCUAAGAAGGAUGCUCUCCUUUUUCUCUUCAUGAAAUUUCUCUACCGAGUGUCGUGAAGUAGCGGCAUGCAUGGUCGCAAGAGAAGGGUGCAAUAAUAGAGGGGAUAAUCGAAUCUUGCUUUUGCACCAAUCCUCACCGUCCAUCUUCUCCUGUCACUGUCACUCGCCACGCUAUAAAGACACCCGUCCUCCAAACAUUUGCUACGAGCAAGCAAGCAAGAAGCCACACGUACUCGCAUCCAUCACACUAGCUUGCUUAGCAUCGCCACCUGCUCUUAGAAUGGCGGGCUACUACAACGGCGGCGGCAGGACCAUGUCCUACUCCAACAACGAUGAGUGCUUCGAUGGCGGCAGGACGAUGUACUCCAACACCACCGACGACUGCUACGACGCCGGCAAGCACGGGCACGGGCACGGGCAUGGCCAUGGCCAUGGCGGGGCAAACAUGUACGCUAACACCACUGACGUGGAGUGCUUCGAGGACUCCGGCAGGCACGGCUACGGUGGUGGCGGCAGGACCAUGUACUCCAACACCGUCGACGAGGAGUGCUUCGACUCCGGCAGGCACGGGCAUGGGCACGGCCACGGCUACGGGCACAACGACGGUAGGGCCAUGUCCUACUCCACCACCACCGAGGAGUGCUUCGGCGGAGGCGAGCAGGGCCAGGGGUACUAUAAGAAGGAGGUGAAGCAGCACAAGAACAGGGAGCGCGUCGGCGAGGUCGGCGCACUCGCCGCCGGUGCCUUCGCCCUGUAUGAGGGGUACGAGGUGAAGAAGGACCCGGCACACGCGAGGAAGCACCAGAUCGAGGCCGGUGUGGCGGGGGCGGCAGCGCUCGGCGCCGGCGGCUACGCGUACCACGAGCACCGCGAGCAGAAGCAGGCCGCCUACGGCGGGCAGCAGGAGUACAGGAUGCCCGUCCACAACGGCUACUGCAACUAAGUGCACGCUACCAACGUCGAUCGAUCGUCGUAUAGACUCCAAUAAUAAAAUCGACAGAGCAUCAUGCAGGCAGGCAUGCUGCAUGCAUGUGUUGCUUAAGUAUUGUUAAUUUCGGCUUAUCUACAAUAAGCUAGCUGCAUGCGUACGUUCAUGCUACCAGUCGCGUGCUCUGUGGUGUAACUUGCAUAUGGUACAAUACGGUCGACAGUAUUUACGCGUGUAUGGAUUGUGUGGUCUUGA
rnacentral:rRNA from 1 species